CGCAGAGCCCCUAUCCAGCACAACCUCUGAUGGUUCAGCUGUUCAAAGCAUUCGGUGGAAUUUGCUUUUCCCCAGCAAACUUCCUGCCAUAUCCCAUCUUGCCUGCCCUUUUACAGCCACAGCAGCCAGUCCCUUGCUGCUCUAUUCAGCUUCACCUGUCAAAGUGAGUGGAGCUGAAGUGCCUGCAGGGUGUUUUUGGGACCUCCCUUCAGUGGUGCUGUUGAGUAGGACACAGGAUGGGCUGAGUGCACAGCACCUCCCUCCAUCAGAGCCCAGAGCAGAUGCCAGGGAAGAGGAAAAGAACCCAGG